UAAAAAUAAACCCAGACACCAUGCAAACUUCAGUUUCUAUAAAUAUAUGUGUACAUUCAACAUGCAAGACGGUAUUAAAAUUGACAUCGGUAAGAUAAGGGCUGAAAAUAGCAAACUGCGGAACCAAGUAACUUGUAAAGUUUGCUUUGAGAAAAAUGUAUCUUUAAUUUUUAUUCCAUGUGGACACUUGGUAUGCUGCUCAGACUGUGCCCCCGCCAUGAUGAAAUGUCCUACAUGUGACAUGGCGGUAAAGAAACGUAUUAUUGCAAAUUUAAAGUGAAGAUAUACUGCGGAUUAUGUACACUUCUUCAUGUGUUCUGUGGAGGAGCGAAAUUAAACUCCUCUGCAUGACUCUUUGUAUUUUUAGUUGGUAAUUGAUUGCAACAAGAUAUCUGCCUAUAAAUACCAGUAAAUUGAAAGAUAUUGUACCAGUAUCUACAAAAUCUGUAACCAAUGAAUUUAGGAAUAUACAUGAAUUCAUAAAUAAAUGUUUGAAGUAUA